AACAAACGCUGGCGGCGUGCCUAAUACGUGCAAGUCGAACGGGGAAAGCUUUCGGGUGAGUACUAGUGGCGCACGGGUGAGUAACGCGUGGAUAAUCUGCCUUAGAGUGGGGGAUAACUAGUCGAAAGAUUAGCUAAUACCGCAUAAGACCACAAGAACUGCGGUUCAAGGGGUCAAAGGUUUUUCGCUCUAAGAUGAGUCCGCGUAAGAUUAGCUAGUUGGUAGGGUAACGGCCUACCAAGGCGACGAUCUUUAACUGGUCUGAGAGGAUGAUCAGUCAAACUGGAACUGAGACACGGUCCAGACUCCUACGGGAGGCAGCAGUAGGGAAUAUUGCACAAUGGAGGAAACUCUGAUGCAGCGACGCCGCGUGAGUGAUGAAGGCCUUCGGGUCGUAAAGCUCUGUCGCAGGGGAAUAACACAAUGAAGGUACCCUGUAAGAAAGGAUCGGCUAACUUCGUGCCAGCCGCCGCGGUAAGAC
rnacentral:rRNA from 1 species